CAACAGGGAUUGCCCCAGUAACGGCGAGUGAAGCGGCAACAGCUCAAAUUUGAAAUCUGGCCCCUAGGGCCCGAGUUGUAAUUUGCAGAGGAUGCUUUUGGUGAGGCGCCUUCCAAGUUCCCUGGAACGGGACGCCACAGAGGGUGAGAGCCCCGUCUGGUUGGACGCCAAGCCUGUGUAAAGCACCUUCGACGAGUCGAGUAGUUUGGGAAUGCUGCUCUAAAUGGGAGGUAUAUGUCUUCUAAAGCUAAAUACUGGCCAGAGACCGAUAGCGCACAAGUAGAGUGAUCGAAAGAUGAAAAGCACUUUGAAAAGAGGGUUAAACAGUACGUGAAAUUGUUGAAAGGGAAGCGCUCAUGACCAGACUUGGGCCCGGUGAAUCAUCCAGCGUUCUCGCUGGUGCACUUUGCCGGGCUCAGGCCAGCAUCGGUUCGCCCCGGGGGAUAAAGGCUCUGGGAACGUGGCUCCCUCGGGAGUGUUAUAGCCCACUGCACAAUACCCUGUGGCGGACCGAGGUUCGCGCGUCUGCAAGGAUGCUGGCGUAAUGGUCAUCAGCGACCCGUCUUGAAACACGGACCAAGGAGUCGUCUUCGUAUGCGAGUGUUCGGGUGCGAAACCCCUACGCGUAAUGAAAGUGAACGCAGGUGAGAGCUUCGGCGCAUCAUCGACCGAUCCUGAUGUUCUCGGAUGGAUUUGAGUAAGAGCAUACGGGGCCGGACCCGAAAGAAGGUGAACUAUGCCUGUAUAGGGUGAAGCCAGAGGAAACUCUGGUGGAGGCUCGCAGCGGUUCUGACGUGCAAAUCGAUCGUCAAAUAUGGGCAUGGGGGCGAAAGACUAAUCGAACCUUCUAGUAGCUGGUUCCGC
rnacentral:rRNA from 1 species